rnacentral:rRNA from 1 species
UACGGGGGGGGCAAGCGUUGUUCGGAAUUACUGGGCGGAAAGGGCUCGUAGGCGGCCAACUAAGUCCGACGUGAAAUCCCCAGGCUUAACCUGGGAACUGCGUCGGAUACUGGAUGGCUUGAAUUCGGGAGAGGGAUGCAGAAUUCCAGGUGUAGCGGUGAAAUGCGUAGAUAUCUGGAGGAAUACCGGUGGCGAAGGCGGCAUCCUGGACCGACAUUGACGCUGAUGAGCGAAAGCUAGGGGAGCAAACGGG